UUCCAGGAUUCGGAAUGCCACUGAAUCUGGACAGUUGUCUCUGCUGCUGGUGCUGGUCCUCACGUUCAACUACACACUCAUACCUCUGUUUAUUGGUUUAUUUUCGUUAUAUUACCAUUUGCUCUCUUCCAGAUGUGGUGUUACAGUAUGUACUGUGGUGAAGAAGGCACUUCUCCUUCACUUGCUCCUCAUCUGGAGAUGUUCGUAAGGUCAAACUUCCUACACUCCCCAAAUCUUGGUGAAGCCGAGUGGUGCUACAACAUCCCUCCGUUAGCUUACUCGCACGUCCAGGAUAAAUACUGGGAGAUCUCCCCCAACAUGAAUAUGAAAACCCACUUCAAGGAGCACAGUUUCAUUUGUUGGCUUUUAGUAUACACCACUUGGUCUCAGACUUGAAGAAACAUCAUCUUAAAGAAUACAGUAAUGAACACACCAACCUUCUCUUCAGGGAGGGGAUAAUAACUUUUCAUACAAAUAUUAUGGUGGAUGUUACUGCAUAGCUGACAAGUUUCUUUCUCGGUAUUAGUGUUACAAGUUGUUAUAUUUAACCAAAUGUUCUGGUAACUUAUAUAAAGCUCAGGUCCAAGUGAUGAAGAAAAAUGUGUUUGUUUUUCUGUUU